AUUGAACGCUGGCGGCAGGCCUAACACAUGCAAGUCGAGCGGAUGAAGGGAGCUUGCUCCUGGAUUCAGCGGCGGACGGGUGAGUAAUGCCUAGGAAUCUGCCUGGUAGUGGGGGAUAACGUCCGGAAACGGGCGCUAAUACCGCAUACGUCCUGAGGGAGAAAGUGGGGGAUCUUCGGACCUCACGCUAUCAGAUGAGCCUAGGUCGGAUUAGCUAGUUGGUGGGGUAAAGGCCUACCAAGGCGACGAUCCGUAACUGGUCUGAGAGGAUGAUCAGUCACACUGGAACUGAGAGACGAUCCAGACUCCUACGGGAGGCAGCAGUGGGGAAUAUUGGACAAUGCGAGAAAGCCUGAUCCAGCCAUGCCGCGUGUGUGAAGAAGGUCUUCGGCUUGUAAAGCACUUUGAGUUGGGAGGAAGGGCAGUAAGUUAAUACCUUGCUGUUUUGACGUUACCAACAGAAUAAGCACCGGCUAACUUCGUG
rnacentral:rRNA from 1 species